UACGUAGGGUGCGAGCGUUAAUCGGAAUUACUGGGCGUAAAGCGUGCGCAGGCGGUUUUGUAAGUCAGAUGUGAAAGCCCCGGGCUCAACCUGGGAAUUGCAUUCGAGACUGAAUAGCUAGGGUACGGUAGAGGGAAGUGGAAUUUCCGGUGUAGCGGUGAAAUGCGCAGAUAUCAGGAGGAACACCGGUGGCGAAGGCGGGUCUCUGGGCCGUAACUGACGCUGAGGAGCGAAAGCGUGGGGAGCGAACAGG
rnacentral:rRNA from 1 species